rnacentral:lncRNA from 1 species
AAGCAGGGUUUUUCCUGGCUCAAAUUGAGGCAGAGGUGGCACCAUCCUGACCAUGCGCCAUGACGUGCAUAUAUUUGUAAAUUCAACUGUCUCACUUUCUUUUACAGGCAACAUACUUUAAGUUAAGAGUUCAAAAAAGAGUGUGACCAUUAUCAUGUUAAAGCAUUCAUUUAUUAAAACUAUAUACAUACACAAAUCAGCUGGCAACUUUAAAUUGAAAGUACACUUCAUCCACACAUCUCGCAACCAGACAGAACAUUUCAGCCUCCUCUUUUUCAUUCUGUAGAACCUCCUCAUGCACUCCUUGUAGUCCAAGGCCUCCUGGUCUGGUCCAUCAACAGCCACCUUACAACAGACAUCCAAGUGCCUCUCCUUCAGUCUGUUCCACAGAGGUGUCUUCACCUUAAACAAAACAAUUCAUCAUGCAUUAAGUAUUUUUGUUUUUAUUCUGAUACAGACAUGAAGAGUGAUAGUGUUUUCAAUCAUAUAUUAUAUAUAUGUAUACGCUGCAGUGUCCUCCCUAAAAAAAAAAAAACGACAACUAAUUAUUUCUUAAACUAUCUAAACUAUGUUCUUUUAGUUUUAUUUAUUUUUUAUUAAUUAUUAGUUAUUAUUUAUUAGUUGAGUGUUUUUAGGUACUACCAUCUUUAAUAUAUUUCUCCUUCUCUUCUGCUGCUUUGUGAAUGGCUGUCACCUCAUGUCUUUUUAAUGUGUCCAGCCUGUAGUUGGUUGAUGGCUGUCUCACUAAGGAGGCAGCAAUUGCCUGCUGUGUUGGGGCACAGUGCUUUUGGCAUAAAUAGCAGUGCAUGCCUUCCUCAGUAUGCCUGAGCCAGGUAAAUUGAUUGAGCCAUUGCUUGUCAAAGCCACUGGCUCUGUGUUUUUGAGAAAAUCUGGAAAGAGGAAUAAAAACCACGUACACGUUGGCUUUGCGUUGUUAUGCUCCUAAUUGGAAACUAAUUAAUUAAUUACCCUCGCCUCGCCGACUCGUCCUGUCCUGCAUUCUGACCCUCGCGAUCACCAGUCCCUUGUGAAGUACUUUCAGACCUGACACAAAUUUCCACGUUGUCACCACUAUGAAUUAUAGCAUUUUAACUGCCUAUUACGUUUUUUCUCUGCUGUGUUUCACCUGGACUCUUGACUUUCCUCCUUGCGAGGUCGCUUUUUAAAGUACUGGCUGAUUUUGCCUGUCAUAUCUGCAACGCUAAAAAACGGAGGAAACUUUUUUUUAAAAUAAACACGUCAUGCUUGGAUGCAAAAAAGACAAGCAGUAUUUACCUGUCUGUACCAUCCGCCAGGGAAAAUCAGGACGCCGAUAGCACCAACUAGCGGGAAAAAAAACUUGAAAAAACAUGAUUCGAUCCGUUUCGUCUUCGGUAGAGGCUUCAGGUCUUUCCGGUGCACUGCUGUUGAUAUAGCGCCUCUAUAGUGGCGCAACGCUGCAACUGCAGUUAAAAUACGUUGCUGCAGCAGAGGGACAUCAUACACUCAAUCAACACAGCUGGAGCUUUACGCUGUGUUGAGCGAAAUCAAUCGCUCUGGCCGGGGGCGGCACAAAAUUAGGUGGAGGCGGCCGCCAUUAUUUUACGUUAAAGUCAGAAAAAGACAUUGCAGCUAAGUGCAAAACUAGUUCUGCACAAGUUUGUUCCAAUAUCUGAUCAAUAUCCAUAUCACAUAGUACUGGAGGCUACAAUAUCGGUAUCAUAUGGAAAGUAAAAAAGUUGUAUCAAGACACUCCAAACCCAGACUCUCCAAUAAAUGUUCUUCUACUGUACUGUCCUUCCUGAUCUACUAAGGUAAAGAAAUCCCAUCACACACAGAUAAAAGCGGUAAGUCUCCUUACUCCGAGUCAGGAAAAAACACUGUCUGAGGGCACAAUAAGAAUAUUUUUGUCUGUGACUUAAAGCACAAUGAAAACACUCGAUCUAAAGUUGAUGAAACGACAAAAUAUGUUAUAAUAUGAUAUCAAACAAGGAUAAAUCAAGGUUUUGAACAACAGUAGUAAAGCUGAAAGUCAAAUGUAAAUGUUAUGUUGAUCGGUAGCUGGUUGUGGCUUUGUUGUUGAUGUAAAACAUGUGAAAAAAAAUCUAUAAAAAGGAAAAAUAUGCUGUAAGGAAGUGUAAAUUUGUACCCACAGCAAACUUGUUAAGCUAACACUGUGCCCCUUAACUGACUCAGCCUGUCACAGGAAUGCAAAGCUUGUAUUUGACAGACAGAUUAGAUGCACAGCAGGGAACACAUCGUGGAAUUUGAAUGUUUGAUGGUCCGCCACUAACAUCAGCCAGUUAAUUAAAUUUUCAGUUUUUUUAUUAUCUGUGAUUUUUUUCAAACUUGUCAGUGUAUUUCCUAGACAAUACCUGUCAUUACUUUUGUCCAUGAAAUCAUCACAGCCUUUGAUUUGAUGCAGGUAUCAACAAUAUUUCAAACUUGAAAUUAUGCAUCAAUCUGCACUUCAAUAAGUCAGGUUGUACCUCACAAAAUAUUCAGUCCACUGUCUUUACUCAACUUAAUUCACAUUCAACCUGCACCCGUUGUACCUCAUUAAAUAUUACAGGUUGGUCUUGGUACAAUGACAUCCAUGGAAUUACUGUAACUCAACCUCAACAGGACAAAACACAGUAGAGAAAAGCAAAGCUGUUGUAUGCUGCGUUAAAAGGUAUUUCUGAUUAUGUUCCUGUAGUUUUCAGUGGUUAUCUGUGCUCUGAUUUAAACUGUGUGUUAAGGAUAAUCCAAGAAUUUGUGGAGCUAACAUAAAAAAAUCCUACUUUUUAGAAAUACUGACAGUGCUUAAGGGACUUCAGCAUUCACCAGUCAUUUGAGAAGGCUGGAUGGGGUCCAGAGGAGAAAAUUCCCAAACAGAAGCAAAUAUGCAUCUGCUUGAAUCAUUUCUGCUUCUGCACUGACUUCAUAUGCAAUCAGGCCGCCUCUCAAGUUUGGCACUGAAUGUGAUAUACUGUGAACCCACUGAGUUUUAGUUUUUCAGUUUGUUCAUUUCAUAAGAACAUUUUUAGGGGACCAAACGCUGAGUACGGACUGCAAACUACAUCUUUUUGGCAAAAUAACUUUAGACAUGUUCAGAUAUGCUUUCAAUCUUGAAUCUGAUGACCCAGUGAAACCAGCGCCUGAAAAAAUGCUGAGACAAGUUGAGACUGGUUACGGUUUGAUUGUUUCCGGGACAGACUGAACUUUGGGCACUUAGUAAACACAGCACAAACAUCAGCUGUGGGACUGAUCCAGUCCUUAAUCAGUCAGCUUCGCUGUGUCAGGAGGUGAUAAUGGGUAAAGAGAGGAAGACAGGGCAAACAAGACAGACAAACAGAGAGAAAGAGUGAGAGAGAUGCUAUCUUUCCGAAAGCACCUCUGGCUAUUUAAAAAUGAAACUCCUCAUCAUGGCUGUGACCUCUAGCCCCUGUUGUAAAGCACAGGGUAAUUGAGGUUAACAGCGUAAUUUGACCUUUGAGGCUUCUGUGUUGCUUCUGUUGGAACGUUUCCUGCCAAACUGUAGAAAUGUAAGAAACAGUCGUCUUUUGAAUAUUCUUAUCUUCAGCUGCAGAAGGAUUGUAACGCGAGGCAGCGUAUUAACUCCACCGCAGAGUGCGUACAUCACAUGGAGGGUAGAUGAAACAUUUUUUGAAGAAUAAAACUGAGAUUAUUUAACUCAGAGUGUUAUGACUCCUUCUCUAGCCUUGGCACAAGUGUUUAGGGUUAAAAUUUGUUUUUUCACUGCAAAUAUCCAUAUCAUCCAAUGCGUCACACUUUAAAAGCUUGCCCCCACAUUUGCCUCCCUCUCGCCUUCUCUCCUAAGAGGACAUUAUAAACUACACUAUGCGCAUCAACCUCUUAUAUUCUCUCGAGAACUGCUACAGUCGCCUGGAGCACUAAUAUGCUAAAAACACCACAACCAGUGCAACAAUAACGAGACACGCUCACAAGGACUGUUGACACUAAAAUAAAGAAUAAAAAACCCAGAAGAGCCGAGCCAUGAUUGUGUAAGUGCAAGGUACACAUAUGCGCACUGACACACACAAGAACCAACACACCGGCUCUGCAGUCGAGGGACAUGAAAAUAUGAAUGUCGAUGAGUUUGGCUGCAGGCAGAGACACCUCCCUGUGAGGCGCUGCUCCAGCCACUCAGUCCCACAGCUCCACACCUAGCGCUUAGAAAGGUCACCAUGUAGAGCCGGCAGCAAGAAAAAUAAAUGAAGUUGUUCCUUGGGGUGACAUCUGUCUUGGGGUUUGGGUAUAUGUGUUGAGAGAGUGCGUGCGUGUGCAUGUGUAUGUGUGUAUAUAGUGAUGUGCUUGUGAUAACGAGCAGUUUAGUUGAUUAAUUAUGUUGUAAUAAAGGUGAUUCCUGAUAAUUUAAGCAUAUCUGCAUAGCUUGAGGAAACCUUAUGGGACCUACAGAAUUAGUGAAACAGUCAUGUAGCUGGAGUAUGUUGAGACACAAACAGAUAGCUAGUAAAUCCUUGAUACCAAGGAACCAAUCCUCUCUAUGAGGGUGACUUUGGGAAAUGUUUAUGCAUAAUGCUUCAUCUGGCUUUGUUUAACAAAAUGAUGUAAAUACAUAUUAAUAAUGUGAAUGAACUGAUAUCUCAAUCUACCCCAUAGCCUGCCUGACUGUGUGUUUCAUUCCCUGGCUCAUUCUCAAACUGGUCCCUUCCCACUUCCCUUUCAGUACCUAGUGCACUCCAUUUGAUGUCACGCCCACGACUGAAUGGAGCGCACUGAAUCAAAGUGGGGGGUUCAGAUUUUGCUGCGGGCUUUGGGACAGACUCCCUUCACCCCCUCGAAAAAGGGACUUUAUGUAACCAUGGUUACAUGCCACACAAAUAAGUAGUUAACGUACAUCAUCAUUCAGCAGACUUGUAUAAGAAUUCCUAGACAGAGUGAACUUUUUUUCUACUUUUUCAGAUUUUAUUCUAAAUCUGAUGUUUAUAAUCGCUUACUUUUUGUCAUUACACUACUUGUAAAUAUACUGUACAGUGUGACGUAAUCACAAAGACAUGCAGCUUUUAAAACUAAAAAAGGGAGUUUUAAAAGUAUAUUCAAGAGUGUAUUCAAACUUUUUAAAUCUUGACAUCUAUUUGAUUAUAUUGUCAUUUUCUUUUUGUCAAAAAAAGUAAUUUCUGUCUAUAUGAGUUACAAAACAGAAUUUUUUUCUAAGGUGGAGAGUCUUUUUAGAUCCUCAAUAUGAACUUCAUAUUCGAGGAUUAAGACUUCAUAUAAAUUUUAAACCAACUUCAAGUAGUUAAAAAUGAAUUAAAAACUGUGAUUUGUUUGUAUCUUACCUUUUAUUAUCUUAAUGGGGUACAAAAGACAAUCUUAAUUUAAGAUUUUGGCUGGUUAAAAAUAUGCAAAGCAUUUUUCCAUCUAGUUUUUCAUCAUCUGCCAACUCUGCUGGUAAAUCAGAAGUUAGUUUUUGACCCUUUGGUGUGACCUUUAAUCUGAAAUAGCGUCCACAAACAGCAGUCCUAUGACUGAAAAACAACAACUUGCCAGAGUUUUUCUUCAAAAUGUUAAAUUCGAGAGCAUUGAUUUGAACUUCGUCUAUUUGUUGUGAAUGGGAGCCCUGACAUCAACACUAUUUGAGAAAACCUGCUUUGCCAACUACCCUGUAUCUGAUUUAUUUUAAAAAACUAUCUAUGAUUUUUGUGAAUCAUUUCCCCAUAAGCAGAUACCACUUUUGGGGGGACUAAGAUUUAUGAAAUCUAACCUAGUGUCAGCAAUCUCUUUUUAUGGUGUUAUCCACUUCCAGCUCUUACAUCAAGAGUCUCUCUCACACUGUCAUUCUCUCCCAUUACCUCCCCCGAUUCCUCUUGUUACCUCUACAACCCUCUUUUUUGCUCUGCUAUCCUAUUUUAUCUAUUUUCUACCCCUGGUUCUCCCUAUUUAUAGCUCUCUAUCACUUUUUCUCCCUCUGAAUGAAGUAUGUAAGAAAUGAAGCAUUUGGCCAACUGAUUGGAAACUGAUCUCGUUUUAGGGAAAAUAGACCAGCCUGCCAAACUGUAACAUGUUUCAGAGCUUCAUCAUCAUCCUGUUCUAGAAAAUCAAACCAACUUUUCUUCUACAUAAUCAUAAAUUCUUUUAGUCCUCAUUAAAUGAAUGCCAACACACGCCUGCUAAAUGAACCUUUUAUUAUAUCUAAAAAAAUUCCUUCUUGCAUGAGAAACUUUGAAGGAGAGUCUUUUUAUUAAUUCUGUCUUUUUGGGGAUGAAAUGCUGAAAGAACUGAGUUGGUUAGAAAUGGAAACUGUCUGUCCACCCACAGUGUGUCUGCAUAAUCCACCUAUUAUCAAAAGGGAAAAAAAUGCAAGAUGUUGCGAGUGUGGUUGCAUGAGAGGGGAAGAGAGAGAAUCGAUAGCCUGAAGAUGGAGUGCCUCCCACAGUUAUGCUCGGCGGCUAUGAAGUCAUUAUGCAUAUACUACAGCUACAGUAGAGAGUCUGCAUCAUUGUGUUUUUAUGCAAAUCGCUCAUACUGUAUAGCACAGUUUAGACAACCGGGAGCUAAAAUAUGAUGGAACCAAUCGAUGUAUUCGUUCUUAUUGCUGUGGAGAUUUUAUACAGUGGAAAUUAUGACCACACAUGACAUGGGUAGUUAAUUUUAGUGACUGCAAACAAAAAAAAAAGGGUUUGAACGAAGAUAAACUCUGCCAAAGCAAAAUAUCAUUCAAUACCACCUUACUCUUCUCAUCAAAGGGUCUAAACUUUUCACUGGCUCUCGAUUUCAAUUCAGAACCACAGUAUUUUCUACCCGCUUGAAUAUCAGUUAUACUUCAGUUAUGCAAUAUGCAAAGAAGCGGGCCAAAGGUGCCUGCGGUCUCAGUGCAGUGAACUGAAGUGUGUGGAAAUGUCUGUCUGCCAGGUCAGAGGAAGCAGACCUGAAUGGAAGCAUCAAAGCUAGAGGAACAUCUUCUCCUCUACAGCUUCAUUUUACACUUAAUCCAUUCCUCUUUCUUGCUGGGCCUUUUCCCUUUUUUGCUUUUCUUCUUCUUCAAGUCUCAAACACGCUGCUUUUUUUUUCUGUUUCCGCCACAUUUCCAUUUAUAUGACAGUGAAUCACAUGGUGCAGUUUUGCUCCAUUAGUAGAGUCCUGUCAUACCACAACUCACCUUUCAUCGGCAAAUCAGAAUAAUGGAGGUUAUUAGUCAUUUUCCACAAUACCCAAACAUGCCUUUCAUUAAAAAAAUGGCAGUACAUGUAUUGUUCACUUCAUUCCCCCACUUUCUAACUGGCCUUCAUGUACGUCUCCUGAAAAACAAAACAGAAUCUACAACAGUUGGUAAAGCACAUUACCCAAAUUCUCUUUGCCUAAUGGUGUGUCAACAUGGAUAGGCUAUUAACGUACAAUGAUGUGCUUUGUGAUAACGAGUGGAUUAUUUGGUUUACUAUGCCAUAAGCGGCUGUACGGGAAUAACACAGGAGGGAAAGAAGAGGGGGCUAAUUCGGUCCUAAUUUGAUGCCUCAGGCAGUCUUAUCCGUUUUGUUCUUGUACAUAUGAAGUGCCUCUCCUCUCCUUUGAGUGCAAUAUGGUGAAAAGCUAUUUUAGACCCUGUGGAUGCAGUGCGAGCAUCACAUCCUUUUACAUUUGCUCAGCAAACAUCAGAUAGCGGACAAGAGAAUCUUUCUGCUUAACUGUGCUGCACAUUAUUAGCAAGUCAGCUCUUCUAUUCUUUAUUGUUGUUUCUUUUUGAUUUUUGUAGAUUUAUAAUGCAAAACAAACCAACCUUCGUCUUGAAAAGAUACAUGUAAAUUUACAUUUUUAAAAUGUGCACAUUGUUCAAUAAAAAUCAGACUUUUUUUUGCAGUAUUCUGCUAAUUUGGCCACAAAGGGGUAGAUAGUAGACAUACAGCAUCUGUGAUCCAAGAAAGAUUUCACUCAUGGUCACUAUCUUAUGAUGCAACUACUAAACAUGUGCGUCAGAGACAGAGACAUUGAAUGUAGUAAUCUCUACCUUUAGGCUAUUCUGUAUAUCUACAUGCGACAGUCCACAAGACUGAAAAGAGGCAUAUGUUUCUGACCACAUCUUCUGCUACACUACGUUCAGGAAGCUCAAGAUUUCACUAAUAAAGGGCUUUGUUACGAGGUGGCUGCUCCUUUUAUAAGUUUAGCCAUUUCUAAAAAAUUUAAUUUAGAUUAUGCUGAGCAGGGCAUCUCUAUCAAGGUGUUCUUUCAUCUGUAAAGUAGAUUUAUCAUAUUGUUACCAUAUACAUAUUUUUUUAUCUACAUGUACUUUCUAAAACAAAAUUCUGUUAUACAAUGUUAGUCACAUGAUAGGUGUCUGUUAGCAUCAACAUGCUAACAUUCUCAUCACCUAGCUAGUUUUCAUUCCUCUCAUGUGUUCCAGAGUAGCAUCUGUGUACUCUGUAGGGAGAGAGAGGAAGAAACCAGAUUUUGGCAAGGACACUCUUGGAAGUAAGAUUUUUACUCUUGUCGAGGCUCUACUGGUUAGAUAAGUUUAAUUAUUCCCUUAGUUUUGCUACAUCAUUGAGUAAUGCUACGUUCCAGUUGUACUGGGAAGUUGGAAAUUCUAAGUUCACAGAAAAGAAGUUCAUCCGGAAUGCACCCCUGAAGUUGGCUUUGUAACUUGGAAAGUUUAUUCUCACCAACCCCGACUUGACAACAACUUCAUACCCAAGAUGGCAGCACCGUGCAUCAACAGUAAAGUGUAACAGUGGUAGCUCUUGUAACGUAUUAUUUAUUAGCACUUCUGUUCAGUUUUUCAAAAAUUAAAUAGGUGGUAUAUGUAGUACUGUCCAAUGUCGAACUGUGGACAUGGUACUACAGUGUGUUUGUAAAGUACCAUGUUAUGUGUUGUUUUCAACUGGUAAAGCUAACAACAGCUAACAACAUCUGACAACGUUUAAUAACAACUAUCAACCACUGACAACAGUUAACAACAGCUAACAACUGCUGACAACAGUUAACAACAGCUAACAACCACUGACAACGGUAAACAACAGCAAACAGUAGACGUCCACCUUGGUUUUCUGACUUGUGUACUGGAACAAGGUCAACCAGGGUGUAACGUCAUUCCCAGCUCUCAACAUCGGACUUCUAAGAUAAGUGGAAGCAGCAUAACAUCUGACCCAGACUCCUGUUAGAUCAUUGUGAUACAAUGGCUCAAAAAGGCGGAAAUUUGGGAUGAUUCAGUAAUUAGAUUGGUGGAAAGAAACACUCAGUAUAAAACACACAGAGCCUCUGAUACAUUUUUAAUGUAACUUAAUUGUAAUCAAAGUAUUUAUAUUCUGACACCCCCUACCUGCUGACAACACUGAAAGUCCUUUAAUGUCUCAUUCUGGUCAAAUUCCUGACGAUGAAGUGAGUAGUAAACAAAAAUCACCUUUUAUUCUAUUCACCCAGGUCAAGAAGGUGCUUAGGUGCUUUGAUGCCUUUUCAAUCUUCAUUUCAAUCACUGCAUACAUCAAAUGACAAAAUGACCUAUGAAUAUAGAUUUUUGGACAUUCAAUAAUUAUUUUUAAAUGAUUUCACAGGAAGAGAGGGCAGGAACGAUUCCCAAUCCCAAGUACAUUUUGCAGCAAAUCCCUGUCAUCACUUAGAAGAAAUAAGCAUUGAAAUAUUGAUCUGCCAUCAAACUAGGUACUGUAUGAAUUGAUCAUGGCCUUUCAUUGAACCAUUGACACAAUACUUGAGGCUAUAGGUCAACAAACAAGAAAAAAUAACAUUACACUUUGGGUUCCAGCAGCAAUGUGGCUUCAGGCUACAGUUCAGGGUUUUCUACAGGGAGGGAGGAAAAGGGAAAUCUGUACUCAUGUAUGUUGAUUCCCCCAAAUUUCAUCAUUUUAUACUAGAAGUGUGGUAAAUGAGAGUUGGUACAGUCAGUUCUGUCCUGGAUUGAUCGGUACACCUUUUACAGUGCUUGUAUCAGAUCAUAACUGGCUGAUUAUACUGCUAUAAAAAUCUAAAUUCAACCCAGAUGGUUAAAUAACACAUGCUUUCGUACUCUGGGAGAGAGGGAGCAUAUAAACGUUGAACAAAAGAGGAAAUGAGACCCCAGCGGGGACAGAUGAAGACGAGAGGAAGACGUCGAUAGCCUGCAGGAUGCAUCUAUUACCUGUGUUGUCUUAACAUCCUCCUGCAGCAGAUUCCAAAACCAACACCGAAAAAAACAACAACAAAAAUAUGAUCGCUUCAUAAAUAUUAUUACUGAAGUGUAAGUUUGCUUUUAUCUUUAUCUUACAAUGCUGGAGACUUGAUCAAAACAUUUUAGUCAAACUUUGUUGUUGGAUAAGAGUUUAGUUAUUAGCCAUCAACACUGUCCUCUUCUUACCCUUUCUGCAUGGCACUGUGACGAGAGCUGUUACUCCAGGACUAAUGAGUCAGCAUCACGCAAUCAUCUGUGUUCAGUUAAGGUCUCGUCGUUACCCUUCCUUACUCCCUUUGACUUUUUCCUCUAUCUUCUCCCUUUUUUCUCCAUUUCUUAUCACUUUCACUCCCCCUUCAUCUUUCAAUCUCCUCAAUUUCCUUCUUCAUCCUUUCUUGCGUCAUCUGUCAGUUCCCCUUGUUUUCAUUCAUUCUUGUUGUUUCCUCUUCCUCUCUCAUCCUCCUCCCUAUGCUAUGAGUAAAGCAUGCCAGUCAGAGCCUAGUAGGCAGAGCUGUCAGUACUGUUCAUGGUAACCUUUUAGUGAUGUAGACAUGCAAUAGUUAAGCCAGGAGCAGCGCCUGGCUCUUGUUAAUUCUCAACUUGCUGUUCCCCCUCCAACCCUUCCUCUAAUUCUUCAUUUUCAUGUGUUUAUCUUUGUUCCUUUAGCUCUUAAUAAGCCAUUUUUAUCCUUAUUUCUUUUGAAUGCCCCAUGCUGCUUUUUUGGUCUGACUACUAUAAAGUCUAUAGCUUCAGGAGAAGAGGAGCAUUACAGUUUCCAGACAUCCUCUUGAGAGUAACACACAAAAGUAAAGCAUAAAAAAUGAGAGGGGAAAAGAUGCUUUUGAAAAUGUGCCACUGAACACCAAAUUAAAUCACUGAAUUAUUCAUUACUGAAUCCUCUUUGCUGUAAAGGAGCGAAGCAGCAAACAUGCAGAGUCAUGCAUGUGGAGCUGGCAAUGAAGCAGUAAACGGGAACAUGACCCACGAUAACUGCUCUCUUCAAUCACCCUCACCACCUACAGCUCAACCAGAAGAAAACAUGUCUUGUAUCUGAGCUCCAGCAGUAACUAUGAGAUUCUGACUCAUUUGUAAAUAACUAAAACAGCCCCAGUGUUACUUCUGUCAUCUUUUGAAAUUACAAUAAAAAGUGUAAAGUAGUCAGUAGAAGAACCAAAACCUGCUUUUGGAUCACCAAACCAGGUAAUUUGGCCUUCAAGGGGAGAGGAAGCAACAUUUAAUAAUCACUGAACGUGGCCCUGGGGGAGACUAUUUUCUAUCCUCAACAGACUUCAUGCUGCUGUUUCGUUUGUUUACAUGGCACUAAAGGUCCAACUCUCCCCAGCAACGCUAUUGACUCUGACUGAUUAAUUAAUGUUUAAUUUCCUACCAGCUCUUUGUUUCAUAAAGUAAUUAGCUAAAAUCACUCAGUUAUCAUGCAUUACCUUUUCUCGACCAUGUCGUGCUGGGUGCUGACCCAUAGAUGCUGCAUCAAGUUUGAUGUGUAUGACCCUUUAGCUGCUUGAUCUGUGUCACAUUUACUUUAAUUAUGUUUUUUAAUUUUCCAUACACAUGUUCUAGUACAAGUGCACAGCAGGUGGACAGGUUGAUGUAAUCACAAUUGAUGGGUGGAUGAAAGUAGCUUCACAGAGUAAUUUGGCCAAACAUAACAGUGAAUCCUGGUCUCACCCUUGUGUCACUCUGACACAUCAGAGUAAGAUGAGAGAGUGAACAUGCACAGUGACGUUGCCUGGUCCUGUGUCCCUGACACAUACAAAUUUGACAGAGUGCAGUCAAUUUGCUUCCCAUGUGUCCCAGGGUUGUACCCCAUUUUUCCCCAUUCAGAAAGGUACACCGUGAACCAUCUACAGAGCAGGGGCAAAACUAAUAUUGCUGUCCAUUAGGGCUAUUUCCAAAUACCAGUGUUGAUAAUAACCGUCUUUUCGAAAAAUUAAACGUUGACACCCUGCUAAAAUAAGCAUACGGUGAUACUGUGAGUUUAUAGUCUUUUACACUGACUGGAACGUCAUUAAACGAAGAAAAGGCCAAAAAAGAACCAGCUACUUCUAGCAUAAUUUGACUAUUUUAAAUACUACAACUCAAAGAUUCACGGGAAGUAAAUCCAGUAAAUCUUUAACCCUUACCUUAAGAGAAAGCGAGUGAACACACAGACAGGAACCACUGUCUUUUUCAGAGUAUGCAGAGUAUUUGUUAAGCUGAUGAGAUCGCUACGACUGAAACCUCUCAGUUUGACAAAGUGCUAAUAAUGCUGCUCCACCUGACCACCUCCACCUCCCACUAUGGGGCAGGACUGGUCACCCAGGUAACCAGGACACUUAGUGAUCUUUAUAUGACCAUAACAGAUAUAGAGAAGCUCAUUUGCUUGUCUGUUCUAGCUGAGUGUUGUUUCAGCUAGCCUGACAUCGCCAAACCCAUCAUCCAGCACUGGAAUCACCAUCACGAGACUUGGGCCACGAUACAAUAUCAUUGCGAUUUUUAACAUUUUGCAAUACAGUGAGUAUUGCGAUACAACAUAUUGAAAUUCAUAAAAAAACAGUUUGGCUUAUUUAGCAUUUGGCUGUCCUAUAUGUUUGUCUUAUUUCCACUAUAUUUUAUUUUCAUUUAGCACAUCUUGCAAACCUUAUAUUUGUUGUACUAACUUUCUCCUGCUCUAUGAUGUCACCUCUGCCAACAUAACUGGACAAACGGUUGAUUUUAUUUUUCUAUUAUCAUAGAUUUAAUCAAUACUUGAUAAAUGAGAUGAUACGGUAUGUCACCAGAUAAAAUAUCAUGAUACUAUGCUGUAGGGCCCAACCAAUUAAUCGGCGAAUCGAUUAAUCCGGCCAAUUUUAGCCUGUUUCAAACUAAUCUGUAAUCGACCAAAACUCGACGAUUUUCAACGAUACUUUCAGAAAUAAAAUGCAGAGAACAAGAUUCGGUUUCACUUAAAAAUGUUCCGCCAUUUGAAAAGUUCCCUGACUUAUCCUGUAGAUGGCGCAGCGACCUCAUGACAAUAUCUACUGUAUAUAGUAUACUAUAUAUUUAAACUCUCUUAUAUAUAACUAAGAGAGAAACAUGGCAAAGCAGUACAUGUUUGAGUACAGACAACAGGUCUGUAAAAACUGUUUUUUUUUAUUUUUAUUUAAGAAAGAUUUUAAAAACGGCGUAAAAGCACACAAAAGCAACUAUCCACUUAGCUCUGUCACUACCUAUUUAAGAAGGCUAAGAAAAGUUAACUCGCCUAGUAUGAGUUUAAGCAAAGGGGCUCAGUGUAUUUAUAUGUCACAAUACAUUAUAGUUAUUCUAGCUGCACCCCUUCAUGAGCUUGUAGGAUCUUCAGGCAAGGUUAGCUAGGCCCCCAAUUGUUAUGUGCUUCAGCAGGUGGCUCAGCAACAAAACACCCGCUGGAACCUUUUCACUUGUCAUUGUCAGUCUGCAUCAGGAGUUAGCCGAACAGACAACCGUCCUGAGAGCCAUGUCACAACACAUCUGCUCCUCAUACUAAAUGUCUAUUUAGGAGCACCGAUAUGGAAAAAGGCCCGUCUUUUAGUGAACACAGCCAAAAGAUACUGUAGCAGAAGGAAAGAGAUUGGACCAGUGUUAGCAAAGAUCUUUAGAUCUUGACGGAGAACGAAUUUUCAUGAAGGUAACAAUGCAACAUCCAUAUACUAAAGGGUUAAGGUACUUAAAUGUACUGGUUGAGAACAGUCCCUCUAAAAGCAAAGUUAUGAUGGACCCAAACUUGUUUAAGAAUCUAUAUUAAAUAAUGGAAAAAAAUGAUCAUCUUUAAUUGCAGCGAGCACAAUGUUUUAGCAAGACAGGUGAUUAGAUUUAAUUGUCAAUUGCUUCAAAAGAGCAAUCGAGUUUUUCCAUUAAUUACUAAAGUUCAAUUUCCUUCAUAAAAUGAGUAAAUCCAAGAGUGAGUGCUGCGAGGAUGUGUAGUCUGACUUUUCUGCUCUAAAUGGAUUUUAAUAAACUCAGAUCUGAAAGACUGUAAAAAAAAUAUAUAUUAAGAUGUUCAAAGAAACAAGAGUCACAGUUAUUAUCUUUUAUCUGAGUGUGUGAUCUCUCUUUGCUAUCAGGCUAUUACACACGAUCAUCUCUGAUCAAAGGCUCAGAGAUGUUAUCAAUGAUGAGAUUAAAUCCUACCAAAAACCUCAGCUUCAUUUUGAUCAUUCUCUUUUUGUGUUAUGUGUGACGGAUAACUUACUAUGUCUCUUACACAAAACAAAAUGGAAACAAAUGAAAAUCGAAUUACAAAUGGAUAAAAUUUGUAAAUAGUUAUUUGUUUUGCCUAUUGUGGUCUUUGCAAAAAGACCCUACUUUUGAUUUCUCCCUCUGUUUUAAAAGCCAACAGGAUGUAUUCAAAUAUAAGAUAAGUGACAGAAGUUGUUUACAUAUUUAUACAGGGGUAGAGUAAGGUUUCCAUUAAGUUGUCUUGGCUCAGUGGUAGUGACACAUAACAGAAUCGCCACAUACACACUGCACAUCACAACACCACCAUCUUCCCCACAUCCCUCCUUUGUUACCACCUACCAUUACACCUCCAAUUCCUUUACAUUGCUGAUGAGACGAAACGGGGGCAUCAAUAUCCCGCCUUGAAAUGACAGAAAGAGGCCGUACUCGGUGGUGUGCAAAUGCAUAUGGAUGAAAUGAAACGAGUUCAUACUAAUGGUGUCCCACUAUAGCAUCCUCUGCUAUCAGUUUAUGAACAUAGUGUGAAUGGGUGACUAUGACAAGCUAUGUAAAAGGGCUGCGAGUGGUUGGGAAGAUGAGAAAAACUUUGCAAAUGUACAAGAUCAUGUAGCAUCUCUGAUUAAAAGUGAAGGAGCUCAACAGGUAGUAUUUGAAUUUGCAAUUCAUCAAGAAUCACUGGAUAUAGACGUCAAUCUUUUAUCUUCUAUGUUUAAAAAAAAUCAGCUGUGAACCGUCAGCACAUGUGUCUACUUAUGACUAUGCAUUAGAGGUGGGUAAGCUUGGGUAUCAAGACCUGGUUCUAUUAUUAUUAAGAUCUGAGAAUUCAAUGAGGCAUUUUAGUUCCUAACUGUGACAUAAAUCUGUCUGGAUUUAACCUCAGCAUGUUGGAACUGAUAUCAAUAAAAUUAAAACAGAUCCCAACCCUUGUGGUGUCCCAGUACCAUCCCUGGAAUUGACUCUCUGACAAACUCUUCACCCUAAAAGUGCCAGUAUUUUUAUUGUUUAAAAUACCUUUAUUCUGAAACAGCCACCUCAGGAAAUGGCAUGUUUUCAGGGCAAGCAAAUGAGUAAUAAAAACGAAGAUCAUGGAGGUUCAGUUGAAAACUAUGAUGUGCAGAUUUCUGAACACACAUCAGUUUAUAAAAUCGCCUUAGUCUGCUCGCAGGCGUAGACAUGAGUCAAGUCUAUGCAUCACAGCCUUGCUUUAGGGGGAGAGGGGGUUGAAGCAGGUAAACAUAUGUUUUUACGAUCCUUUUAUAUUUUAUGAUACCCUCACAGCAAAAGGCAAAACAAAAAAAAUUGAUUUUAAUUCUAAGUCAUAUCCUUCACCCCUGCUGUGCAUGUUUUUAAGUUAUAGCAGUAACUACAGAAUCAAACCAAUAUUGCCCUCUGCAUUCCUACAAUAUACAAUAUGAUAUAUAAUAUAUACAUGACAGACUAAGUUUGGGGUGGACUGAUCUCUUGAUGGACCUCUAAGACUGCAGGUUUUGUCCCCUAACUAGCAUCCUAAGGUGGUCAUUGAUGCACUUAAACACGCUGUGAUGAGUUUUAAGGUUAUUAAACAGGCAAAAAUCAAUGCUAAUGCAUAAAUACUCGAGAAAGAAAUAAGACCACAGGGAUAUUGACUUUUCCCUGCAUAGUCAUUUGACUGCCAUUCACCACUGCCACUGCAAACAUUUGAAUAUUUGUGCGGCAUAUUAAGAAUCCUGCACCAUAAUUCAAGCCCAGUAGAUUAAAACUUCAUCCAAGAAAAAAAACUGUGAUCAAGUAAAGCCUUUAGCAGGGUUUUUCCUGGCUCAAAUUGAGGCAGAGGUGGCACCAUCCUGACCAUGCGCCACGACGUGCAUGUAUUUGUAAAUUCAACCGAUUCACUGUCUUUUACAGGCAACAUACUUUAAGUUAAGAGUUCAAAAAAGAGCGUGACCAUUAUCAUGUUAAAGCAUUCAUUUAUUAAAACUAUAUACAUACAGCUGGCAACUUUAAAUUGAAAGUACACUUCAUCCACACAUCUCGCAACCAGACAGAACAUUUCAGCCUCCUCUUUUUCAUUCUGUAGAACCUCCUCAUGCACUCCUUGUAGUCCAAGGCCUCCUGGUCUGGUCCAUCAACGGCCACCUUACAACAGACAUCCAAGUGCCUCUCCUUCAGUCUGUUCCGCAGAGGUGUCUUCACCUUAAACAAAACAAUUCAUCAUGCAUUAAGUAUUUUUGUUUUUAUUCUGAUACAGACAUGAAGAGUGAUAGUGUUUUCAAUCAUAUAUUAUAUAUAUGUAUGUAUACGUUGCAGUGUCCUCCCUAAAAAAACGACAACCAAUUAUUUCUUAAACUAUCUAAACUAUGUUAUUUAUUUUUAGUAACUUUAUUAGUUGAGUUUUUUUAGGUACUACCAUCUUUAAUAUACUUCUCCUUCUCUUCUGCUGCUUCGUGAACGGCUGUCACCUCAUGUCUUUUUAAUGUGUCCAGCCUGUAGUUGGUUGAUGGCUGUCUCACUAAGGAGGCAGCAAUUGCCUGCUGUGUUGGGGCACAGUGCUUUUGGCAUAAAUAGCAGCGCAUGCCUUCCUCAGUAUGCCUGAGCCAGGUAAAUUGAUUGAGCCACUGCUUGUCAAAGCCACUGGCUCUGUGUUUUUGAGAAGAUCUGGAAAGAGGAAUAAAAACCACGUACACGUUGGUUUUGCGUUGUUAUGCUCCUAAUUGGAAACUAAUUAAUUAAUUACCUUUGCCUCGCCGACUCGUCCUGCCCUGCAUUCUGACCCUCGCGAUCACCAGUCCCUUGUGAAGUACUUUCAGACCUGACACAAAUUUCCACGUUGUCACCAACAUGAAGUAUAGCAUUUUAACUGCCUGUUACGUUUUUUCUCUGCUGUGUUUCACCUGGACUCUUGACUUUCCUCCUCGCGAGGUCGCUUUUUAAAGUACUGGCUGAUUUUGCCUGUCAUAACUGCAACGCUAAAAACGGAGGAAACUUUUUUUUUAAAAUAAACACGACAUGCUUGGAUGCAAAAAAGAGAAGCAGUAUUUACCUCUUUGUACCAUCCGCCAGGGAAAAUCAGGACGCCGACAGCACCAACUAGCGGGAAAAAAAACUUGAGAAAACAUGAUUCGAUCCGUUUCUUCUUCGGUAGAUGCUUCAGGUCUUUCCGGUGCAGUGCUGUUGACAUAGCGCCUCUAUAGUGAGGGCAACGCUGCAACUGCAGUUAAAAUACGUUGCUGCUGCAUCGGGACAUCAAUCGCUCAAUCAACACAGCUGGAGCUUUACGCUGUGUUGAGCGAAAUCAAUCGCUCUGGCUGGGGGCGGCACAAAAUUAGGUGGAGGCGGCCGCCACGCAAUUUUGAACGCAGGAAAAACCCUGGCCUUUAG